AUGGAUAUCGGCCAUGCCAACAUCGGAGACAUACACUUACAAUGGACCGAAGAGGAUAAUCUAUGCCUGGUAAAUGCUUGGUUAAAUGUUCCCAUUGAUUUUGUUAUUGGCAAUGAAAACACUGCACGGGAUUUUUGGAAUCAAGUCGCUGAAGAAUAUAACUCAAAUACCGCCGAUAAUCGAAGAAGACAACCUAUCCAAAUCAAACGCCGUUGGAGUAAGAUGAGCUCAGAAAUUCUGCUAUUCGAUGGCAUGUGGCGCAGGGUUGACGAUGCAUUCACAGCUACUGGACAAUAUAACCAGGACUUGGUUUCCAAAUCUCUAGAGAUGUAUAGGUUAGAACAAAAUCAAUCAUUCAAAUUUCUCAACAUGUGGAUGUUCAUACGGAACUAUCCCUAG
rnacentral:rRNA from 1 species